rnacentral:rRNA from 1 species
UGUUGUCCCGGGGUAAGGGUGUAGGACGAGUGGUAGGCAAAUCCGCCACUCACAUAGUCUGAGACCUGAUGCCGAGCCGAUUGUGGUGAAGUGGAUGAUCCUAUGCUGUCGAGAAAAGCCUCUAGCGAGUUUCAUGGCGCCCGUACCCUAAACCGACUCAGGUGGUCAGGUAGAGAAUACCGAGGCGUUCGGGUGAACUAUGGUUAAGGAACUCGGCAAAAUGCCCCCGUAACUUCGGGAGAAGGGGGGCCAUCACCGGUGAAGGCAUUUACUGUCUGAGCUGGGGGUGGCCGCAGAGACCAGCGAGAAGCGACUGUUUACUAAAAACACAGGUCCGUGCGAAGCCGUAAGGCGAUGUAUACGGACUGACGCCUGCCCGGUGCUGGAACGUUAAGGGGACCGGUUAGUCACUCUUCGGGGUGGCGAAGCUGAGAACUUAAGCGCCAGUAAACGGCGGUGGUAACUAUAACCACCCUAAGGUAGCGAAAUUCCUUGUCGGGUAAGUUCCGACCUGCACGAAUGGCGUAACGACUUCUCGACUGUCUCAACCAUAGGCCCGGUGAAAUUGCACUACGAGUAAAGAUGCUCGUUUCGCGCAGCAGGACGGAAAGACCCCGGGACCUUUACUACAGUUUGAUAUUGGUGUUCGGUUCGGCUUGUGUAGGAUAGCUGGGAGACUGUGAACUCUGGACGCCAGUUCAGGGGGAGCCGUCGUUGAAAUACCAGUCUGGUCGUGCUGGAUGUCUAACCUGGGUCCGUGAUCCGGAUCAGGGACAGUGUCUGAUGGGUAGUUUAACUGGGGCGGUUGCCUCCUAAAGAGUAACGGAGGCGCCCAAAGGUUCCCUCAGCCUGGUUGGCAAUCAGGUGUUGAGUGUAAGUGCACAAGGGAGCUUGACUGUGAGACCGACGGGUCGAGCAGGGACGAAAGUCGGGACUAGUGAUCCGGCGGUGGCUUGUGGAAGCGCCGUCGCUCAACGGAUAAAAGGUACCCCGGGGAUAACAGGCUGAUCUUCCCCAAGAGUCCAUAUCGACGGGAUGGUUUGGCACCUCGAUGUCGGCUCGUCGCAUCCUGGGGCUGGAGUCGGUCCCAAGGGUUGGGCUGUUCGCCCACUAAAGCGGUACGCGAGCUGGGUUUAGAACGUCGUGAGACAGUUCGGUCCCUAUCCGCUGCGCGCGCAGGAACAUUGAGAAGGGCUGUCCCUAGUACGAGAGGACCGGGACGGACGAACCUCUGGUGUGCCAGUUGUUCUGCCAAGGGCAUGGCUGGUUGGCUGCGUUCGGGAGGGAUAACCGCUGAAAGCAUCUAAGCGGGAAGCCUGCUUCGAGAUGAGUGUUCCCACCCACUAGAUGGGUUAAGGCUCCCAGUAGACGACUGGGUUGAUAGGCCGGAUCUGGAAGGCGGGUAACCGCUGGAGGUGACCGGUACUAAUAGGCCGAGGGCUUGUCCUC